rnacentral:piRNA from 1 species
UUCAGCCGAUUUGUAUAGUGAGCAAUGUUG